UAGCAUAUCAAUAAGCGGAGGAAAAGAAACCAACAGGGAUUACCUCAGUAACGGCGAGUGAAGCGGUAACAGCUCAAAUUUGAAAUCUGGCUCUUUCAGGGUCCGAGUUGUAAUUUGUAGAAGAUGCUUCGGGUGUGGCUCCGGUCUAAGUCCCUUGGAACAGGGCGUCAUAGAGGGUGAGAAUCCCGUAUGUGACUGGCUGCCUCCGCCUAUGUGAAGCUCUUUCGACGAGUCGAGUUGUUUGGGAAUGCAGCUCAAAAUGGGUGGUAAAUUUCAUCUAAAGCUAAAUAUUGGCCAGAGACCGAUAGCGCACAAGUAGAGUGAUCGAAAGAUGAAAAGCACUUUGGAAAGAGAGUUAAACAGUACGUGAAAUUGUUGAAAGGGAAGCGCUUGCAAUCAGACUUGCACGCUGCCGAUCAUCCGGGGUUCUCUCCGGUGCACUCGGUUGCGUUCAGGCCAGCAUCGGUUUGGGUGGUUGGAUAAAGGCCUUGGGAAUGUAGCUUCUUUCGGGGAGUGUUAUAGCCCAAGGUGCAAUGCAGCCUACCCGGACCGAGGACCGCGCUUCGGCUAGGAUGCUGGCGUAAUGGUUGUAAGCGACCCGUCUUGAAACACGGACCAAGGAGUCUAACAUCUAUGCGAGUAUUUGGGUGUCAAACCCAUAUGCGUAAUGAAAGUGAACGGAGGUGAGAACCCUUAAGGGUGCAUCAUCGACCGGUCCUGAUGUCUUCGGAUGGAUCUGAGUAAGAGCAUAGCUGUUGGGACCCGAAAGAUGGUGAACUAUGCCUGAAUAGGGUGAAGCCAGAGGAAACUCUGGUGGAGGCUCGCAGCGGUUCUGACGUGCAAAUCGAUCGUCAAAUUUGGGUAUAGGGGCGAAAGACUAAUCGAACCAUCUAGUAGCUGGUUCCUGCCGAAGUU
rnacentral:rRNA from 1 species